UGGCUCAUUGGUUAAAGCACUUGGCUGCUGGCCAAAAGGUUGGUGGUUCGAACCCACC
rnacentral:tRNA from 1 species